rnacentral:lncRNA from 1 species
GAAGGUACCAGGAGUGUGUUUCCACACAGCACACCCUCGACCUCUCCUGGUCACACUCUGUCAUGAGUCACAACCUUGACUGCUGGGGAAACAGCAAAGAGCAGGGCUCUGGGGAGGAAGACAGUGCCUGACCCCGUGUCCACUGCUUCAAGAAAUGGGCAUAAGGUGGCAGCACUGGUAGUGGCUGCAGGUGUUGUGGAGAGAAACUUGGCCAAGGGCCAGCUGUACUUGAGCUGCGAAAUCCCAGGGAGAAGAUGGGAAAAGGGAACUCUGUGAAAGACCUCCUUAUUAGGACAGCUAGUAAUGGGAAGAGCAAGGCUUCUCCUAGGGGAGCAGGGGCACUCGGGAGUUGCCCAGGGAGGAGUGGCUGAUGGGUCCCAUUGCCUGGCACCCACACCUCUGUUGAAGGAGUAACUACCACUUAUGAGGAAGGAUUAAGACGGACUGAUGAACAACAUGGAUGAAGUCUGAGAACAUGGUACCGCAGGCAAGUUCUCCUAAUGCCUGGCCCUUGGGGAAGCCUAGAGAGAGAGGCAAUUUGGAAAACCCUGUUUUGGAACGGAGCUGCUCCUUAAAAGCUCCCCGUGGNNNNNNNNNNNNNAACGACAUGACACCCCAGGCACGCGGCUUGGGCUGGUGCAAGAAUUGUCACUCCUUCCUUCUUGAGGCUCUCUGACCUAGUAGGUCCAUGGCCUGCACUGCUAGAGCUGCCCGAGGAGCACCGGGUUCCAGUCUACGCGGGAGCCCCUGUUAGGAGCGGUGUUACGUGCGGGAGCCGGAGCUCUGAGAGCAGCCACGUGGCAUAAGUCGUACCUCGUGGACACUUUUGUACUGUUUAGUCCAAGCACAGGUGCCAGACAUGAGAGCCUAUGUGACCCUGAGACCAAAAAAGAGGGAAGAGAGAAAAGAGGGAGGAGCAGGAGAAGUUCUCCUAAUUCACUUCUCUUAAUUCUCACUAGGGGAAGAGAAUGACUAAAACAGAACCUGCAUCUAAGAGCAUUAGUAUUAUUAAUAAUAAUACCUUUGAUAACUAGGCCAGUGAUCUCACAGCACUUUUAUCAUCCAUUAUUUUCUCUGUACUCACCCAAAUCUCAAGGACCUAUAGAAUGGGUAUCGCCGUGUCUUAAGUUUUUGUUUCUCUUUUCUCUUUCUUCAUCAGCUUUGUUUGAAAAUGAGGGAUCUUGACCUGAGCGCUAAGAACUUAUAGAUUUUGAAUGAAAAAAAGCCUCUACUAUUUUGGAGGCAUCGUCUUUCCUCUUAGGUAGACAUCAGCCUACAGUACUUUAUAGGAGGUACAAAGGUAGUGUAUAUGCAAUAUCGGACAUCACAGCAGAGUGAUGUCCAAGGGCUCCCAUUCAUAGUAAACUCAAUGAGAGAAUUUAUAUCCCAAAUCAAAAAGUGGAAAAUUCUAGACUGGUUUUAAAGCAUCAUAGCCCAGAGAUAGUCAGUUGACUCAUGGAGAGCCUCUGUUCUGAUGCAUCUGAGCAUACAUAGUUCACAUGAUUAGAUUUCCUGAGUCUGUUUAAAAUCUUGGAGGUGCCUGGUGGCUCAGUCGGAUAAACGUCUGCCUUCGGCUCAGGUCAUGAUCCCAGGGUCCUGAGAUUGAGCCCCGCAUCAGGCUCCUUGCACAGCGGGAGCCUGCUUCUCCCUCUCCCUCUCCCCUUCGCCCUUCUUGUGAUUUCUCUCUCUCACAUAAAUAAAUAAAAUCUUUUUAAAAAAUAAAAUCUUGAU